CGGACGGGUGAGUAAUGUCUGGGAAACUGCCUGAUGGAGGGGGAUAACUACUGGAAACGGUAGCUAAUACCGCAUAACGUCGCAAGACCAAAGAGGGGGACCUUCGGGCCUCUUGCCAUCGGAUGUGCCCAGAUGGGAUUAGCUGGUAGGUGGGGUAACGGCUCACCUAGGCGACGAUCCCUAGCUGGUCUGAGAGGAUGACCAGCCACACUGGAACUGAGACACGGUCCAG
rnacentral:rRNA from 1 species